UAUUUUUCAUGCUUGAAUAGGCCAAAAUAGGGGCAAGUGUUGCAAUCAUUUUUUGCUUCAGACGGGACUCAACUUGAUCCUGGGUAGAGCUUGGCAUCAAAACAGAGGCGGAGCAUACUUCAUUUCCAAGCCCAUUGUAACCGUCGAUGUCAUUCCGUCAAGCAACCAAAAAAAUCGAGAGUUAGUUUCCAAAAUAUACUGUUAAGAAUAACUAUUAAGAAUAAUCGGUGGAAGAGUCAGUUUUGGUUUUGUUGUUUUUAAUGGGAUGGAGUAGUUGGUUUUCAUGUUUUUAAUGGGAGGGAAGAGCUGGUUUGGAUGUUGGGAUGGAAGAAUCAGUUUUGGUGUUUUUAAUGGAAGGAGAGUCGGUUUUGAUGUUUGUAGUUGCAGGUGGCGUCUCUAGGCUGGUUUGGUUGUGGAACAAGGGUGCAUUAUACUCCUUGAUUUGCUAUUAUGGUAGCUAUGUCAGGUGACCACUGUAGCAAUUUAGCGGGUUAAGAAGACAGAUAAUUCAGUUCGUCCCCGAUAGAUGAUGCAACUUCUUCUUAUGAAAAGAUGAGGCAAGGAUGUGUCCCUAUGGCAUUGGGCUAUAUAGAGUAUUCACAUCCAAAAGGCUAGACAGCCAAGGGAAAUGGUUUUGGGUAUGCGCAAAGCCUCAGGAUGGAGGUGGCUGUAAAUUUUUUUCAUGGAUAACUUUAGUGGAGAAUGCCGAGCAUAGGAUGGGGAGUGUAACCAUGAAAGGAGAUGCGUUAUGACCUUCUGGAAGCAAUGAAAAGUAAUCUAGGGACACAUUAGACGAAGUUGUAGCAGUUGUGUCUAGUUUGAGAAGGAUAGUUUGGAUAGAAUGUCAGACUUGUGAUAAAUUAUUAAAGUGUAUCAAGGAUUUACGCACAAAUAUGUAUGAUGUGGCUUUCUACUUUUGCUUUUGUCUUUGAAGGUGCAAUAAUCAACCAUUGUUGUUUUGAAUAUGUAAUGA